UACGGAGGGUGCAAGCGUUGCUCGGAAUCAUUGGGCGUAAAGAGCUCGUAGGCGGCUGCUCAAGUCGAAUGUGAAAACUCGAGGCUCAACCUCGAGCCUGCAUUCGAUACUGGGCGGCUAGAGUCUGGUAGGGGGAUCUGGAAUUCCUGGUGUAGCGGUGGAAUGCGCAGAUAUCAGGAGGAACACCGGUGGCGAAGGCGGGAUCCUGGGCCAGUACUGACGCUGAGGAGCGAAAGCGUGGGGAGCAAACAGG
rnacentral:rRNA from 1 species